UUAAGCGACUAAGCGUACACGGUGGAUGCCCUGGCAGUCAGAGGCGAUGAAGGACGUGCUAAUCUGCGAAAAGCGUCGGUAAGGUGAUAUGAACCGUUAUAACCGGCGAUGUCCGAAUGGGGAAACCCAGUGCAAUUCGUUGCACUAUCGUUAACUGAAUACAUAGGUUAACGAGGCGAACCGGGGGAACUGAAACAUCUAAGUACCCCGAGGAAAAGAAAUCAACCGAGAUUCCCCCAGUAGCGGCGAGCGAACGGGGAGCAGCCCAGAGUCUGAAUCAGCUUGUGUGUUAGUGGAACGGUCUGGAAAGUCCGACGGUACAGGGUGAUAGUCCCGUACACCAAAAUGCACAGGCUGUGAACUCGAAGAGUAGGGCGGGACACGUGGUAUCCUGUCUGAAUAUGGGGGGACCAUCCUCCAAGGCUAAAUACUCCUGACUGACCGAUAGUGAACCAGUACCGUGAGGGAAAGGCGAAAAGAACCCCGGCGAGGGGAGUGAAAAAGAACCUGAAACCGUGUACGUACAAGCAGUGGGAGCACCUUCGGGUGUGACUGCGUACCUUUUGUAUAAUGGGUCAGCGACUUAUAUUCUGUAGCAAGGUUAACCGUAUAGGGGAGCCGCAGGGAAACCGAGUCUUAACUGGGCGUUAAGUUGCAGGGUAUAGACCCGAAACCCGGUGAUCUAGCCAUGGGCAGGUUGAAGGUUGGGUAACACUAACUGGAGGACCGAACCGACUAAUGUUGAAAAAUUAGCGGAUGACUUGUGGCUGGGGGUGAAAGGCCAAUCAAACCGGGAGAUAGCUGGUUCUCCCCGAAAGCUAUUUAGGUAGCGCCUCGUGAACUCAUCUUCGGGGGUAGAGCACUGUUUCGGCUAGGGGGUCAUCCCGACUUACCAACCCGAUGCAAACUACGAAUACCGAAGAAUGUUAUCACGGGAGACACACGGCGGGUGCUAACGUCCGUCGUGAAGAGGGAAACAACCCAGACCGCCAGCUAAGGUCCCAAAGUCAUGGUUAAGUGGGAAACGAUGUGGGAAGGCACAGACAGCCAGGAUGUUGGCUUAGAAGCAGCCAUCAUUUAAAGAAAGCGUAAUAGCUCACUGGUCGAGUCGGCCUGCGCGGAAGAUGUAACGGGGCUAAACCAUGCACCGAAGCUGCGGCAGCGACACUAUGUGUUGUUGGGUAGGGGAGCGUUCUGUAAGCCUGCGAAGGUGUGCUGUGAGGCAUGCUGGAGGUAUCAGAAGUGCGAAUGCUGACAUAAGUAACGAUAAAGCGGGUGAAAAGCCCGCUCGCCGGAAGACCAAGGGUUCCUGUCCAACGUUAAUCGGGGCAGGGUGAGUCGACCCCUAAGGCGAGGCCGAAAGGCGUAGUCGAUGGGAAACAGGUUAAUAUUCCUGUACUUGGUGUUACUGCGAAGGGGGGACGGAGAAGGCUAUGUUAGCCGGGCGACGGUUGUCCCGGUUUAAGCAUGUAGGCUGAUUGUCCAGGCAAAUCCGGAUAAUCAAGGCUGAGGUGUGAUGACGAGGCACUACGGUGCUGAAGUAACAAAUGCCCUGCUUCCAGGAAAAGCCUCUAAGCAUCAGGUAACAUCAAAUCGUACCCCAAACCGACACAGGUGGUCAGGUAGAGAAUACCAAGGCGCUUGAGAGAACUCGGGUGAAGGAACUAGGCAAAAUGGUGCCGUAACUUCGGGAGAAGGCACGCUGGUGUGUAGGUGAAGUCCCUGCGGAUGGAGCUGAGACCAGUCGAAGAUACCAGCUGGCUGCAACUGUUUAUUAAAAACACAGCACUGUGCAAACACGAAAGUGGACGUAUACGGUGUGACGCCUGCCCGGUGCCGGAAGGUUAAUUGAUGGGGUUAUCCGUAAGGAGAAGCUCUUGAUCGAAGCCCCGGUAAACGGCGGCCGUAACUAUAACGGUCCUAAGGUAGCGAAAUUCCUUGUCGGGUAAGUUCCGACCUGCACGAAUGGCGUAAUGAUGGCCAGGCUGUCUCCACCCGAGACUCAGUGAAAUUGAACUCGCUGUGAAGAUGCAGUGUACCCGCGGCAAGACGGAAAGACCCCGUGAACCUUUACUAUAGCUUGACACUGAACAUUGAGCCUUGAUGUGUAGGAUAGGUGGGAGGCUUUGAAGCGUGGACGCCAGUCUGCGUGGAGCCAACCUUGAAAUACCACCCUUUAAUGUUUGAUGUUCUAACGUUGGCCCCUGACCGGGGUUGCGGACAGUGUCUGGUGGGUAGUUUGACUGGGGCGGUCUCCUCCCAAAGCGUAACGGAGGAGCACGAAGGUUAGCUAAUCCUGGUCGGACAUCAGGAGGUUAGUGCAAUGGCAUAAGCUAGCUUGACUGCGAGCGUGACGGCGCGAGCAGGUGCGAAAGCAGGUCAUAGUGAUCCGGUGGUUCUGAAUGGAAGGGCCAUCGCUCAACGGAUAAAAGGUACUCCGGGGAUAACAGGCUGAUACCGCCCAAGAGUUCAUAUCGACGGCGGUGUUUGGCACCUCGAUGUCGGCUCAUCACAUCCUGGGGCUGAAGUAGGUCCCAAGGGUAUGGCUGUUCGCCAUUUAAAGUGGUACGCGAGCUGGGUUUAGAACGUCGUGAGACAGUUCGGUCCCUAUCUGCCGUGGGCGCUGGAGAAUUGAGGGGGGCUGCUCCUAGUACGAGAGGACCGGAGUGGACGCAUCACUGGUGUUCGGGUUGUCAUGCCAAUGGCACUGCCCGGUAGCUAAAUGCGGAAGAGAUAAGUGCUGAAAGCAUCUAAGCACGAAACUUGCCCCGAGAUGAGUUCUCCCUGAGACUAUAAGUCUCCUGAA
rnacentral:rRNA from 1 species